rnacentral:pre_miRNA from 1 species
UAAAUUCUUCAAGGAAGUGACUUCAUAUGAUUAUCUUAGAAUAAAUCUUCAUCACAAGCCUAACUAGAACUAUAACAUUGAGAAAUUGAUAAAAGGAGGGUGGAAAUCUUAUUAAGACUUG